rnacentral:lncRNA from 1 species
AGAGGUCCCACGGUGGGAACAGUGAGACACUGCUCUGAUUCACAAUGCUUCCAUGAUGCUUGAGUCACAGAGGAUAACUCAGAAGUUGUUACCAGUGCUCCUUAUGCUCCACAAAAUCCUAAUUUUACAGGCACCAUCCCAGCCAUUAGAUAUACUGCAGUGUUAAACUUCACUAUUUCAGUUGGCUCUUUCACCUUGGCAUUUCGGUAUGUAAGUAAAAUUUGAAAAGCGAUCUUAAGCCAACAAAGAAAAUAAACAGACGAAUACAAUGUGCAUCCAUCUAUCUGCCCUUCCAGCUACCAUCACCUCCCCAAGUGUUUUCACAGAGCAGCCUUCAAGACAAACUUUCCUUCGAGACCAGUCAACGUGCAUUCCUACCAUUUCUUCACCUCCGUCCACGUAACCGGUUCCUGUUCCUACCGUUUUACUAGAACUGCUCUUCCCAAGAGAACCAGUGACCUCGUGGUGACUAAGGCAGAACUUCAAAAUCACCCAAAAGAAAUAAAUGCUACUUCUGAUUCUUCAGAAAAAAGAAACGUAUGCUGUUCAUUUUGGGCAAGUCCAAGUUUGUUCUAGCCAUUGCUUCUCCUCUACAACCUGUGAGCCUGCACAGGAAGCCACCAAAUGAAAAUUGAAACUCUCUGAAGAGAUCAUCC